rnacentral:misc_RNA from 1 species
AAUGGGAUGGCUUCAAAGGUCUGUGUUUGUAGUUGCCGCAAUUUGGGAAAGAGAACUCCUGAAUUGGAAGAACAGGGAAGGCAACACUGUAUUACACAUUGCUGCUUCGAGCAAUCAAAGACAGGAGUGGGACGCUUGCUUUAUUUUUUUAUAAUUUCCUUAUGUUAAGAGAAUUUCCAUUCCUUUUUCCUUGUUCUUCAAAUGAGCAUUUUGUAAUUUUAUUGGUAAAUCGAUACUGAGCUCACACAUGCAUAUCGCCGGUGAUCCAUUGCUGCACAGGUCGUAAAUCGAAACGUUUGUAUAUACCAACAUAAAGAAUUUGAAUGGUUCGACAGCGAUGAACAUCCUACGAGACCAUGCACAAUUCAGCGAUAAAGAGCCCAGUAAAAUGCAACACCUUCCCCCUUGCGGAUAUCUCACGGCGACAGGCCGAUCUGGGAACUUAAAAGAGGAAGCUCUCGUUCUUAUAGGCAUGGGCAAUAAGCUCAGCUAGUCGGGGAAAGAAGAUACAGAGUGAACGGCGCAAUGCACUACUAGUGGUUGAUGCUUUUAUAGCAACAAUUACGUACCAGGCAGCACUAAGCCCAUCCGUCGGUGUUUGGCAGGGAACUGCUGACAUCAAUUCACAUCUACCAAACAUGUUUCGUGCGGAUACCUCUGCCACAAACACCAUUCUCAGUGAAGCCAACCCAUCACGUUAUGUGGGUUCUAGUGUUAUGGGCUCCCGCAUUUUUUUGCUGUUCUGGUUGGCGAAUACUGCUAUCUUUGUGGUAACAAUUCUACGGAUGAUGAGAUUUGGGGUCCCAAGAGAUCAUCUGUGGACGAUGUUUCCACGAUCGGUGAUAUUGUUGUUUUCUUGCUACUCGUUUUCAAUGUCGAUAAUCUCACCAACUAAAUCUUGGUCAAAUUUUAAUUUGAUUGUGUUUUUAGCAGUAUUAUUCCCAUAUUUUUUGGUUCGUCUGCUCUGGUUCUUUCUUCGUGGUCGCGGAGCUAUGGGACUUAACAGUGGAUGGCAGAGACGCCGUAU